CAAUAGCGUAUAUUAAAGUUGUUGCAGUUAAAAAGCUCGUAGUUGGACUUCUGGGUUGUGAUUGUGGUCCGCCUAACGGUGUGCACUGUGGUUGCGACUCUUCUUCCCGUAGUUUGGGGUGCACUUAGUUGUGUGCUUUGGUAAUAUGGGACCUUUACUUUGAAAAAUUAAGAGUGUUCAAAGACAGGCCUACGCUUGAAUACAUUAGCAUGGAAUAAUGGAAUAGGACUUUGGUUGCUAUUUUGUUUGGUUUAUUGGGACCGAAGUAAUGAUUAACAGGGACAGUUGGGGCCGGUUUAUAUUUCGUUGUCAGAGGUGAAAUUCUUGGAUUUACGAAAGAAUAAACUUACUGCGAAAGCAUUCGGCAAGGAUGUUUUCAUUGAUCAAGAACGAAAGUUAGGGGAUCGAAGACGAUUAGAUACCAU
rnacentral:rRNA from 1 species